AGGUUAAUAGCUCAGUGGUAGAGCACAUGUUUAGCACAUGCAUGAGGUCCUAGGUUCAAUCCCUGGUACCUC
rnacentral:tRNA from 1 species